CGACGGCGGUGUUUGGCACCUCGAUGUCGGCUCAUCACAUCCUGGGGCUGAAGUCGGUCCCAAGGGUAUGGCUGUUCGCCAUUUAAAGUGGUACGCGAGCUGGGUUUAGAACGUCGUGAGACAGUUCGGUCCCUAUCUGCCGUGGGCGUUGGAAGAUUGAAGGGGGCUGCUCCUAGUACGAGAGGACCGGAGUGGACGAACCUCUGGUGUUCGGGUUGUGUCGCCAGACGCAUUGCCCGGUAGCUAAGUUCGGAAUUGAUAAGCGCUGAAAGCAUCUAAGCGCGAAGCGAGCCCUGAGAUGAGUCUUCCCUGACAGUUUAACUGUCCUAAAGGGUUGUUCGAGACUAGAACGUUGAUAGGCAGGGUGUGUAAGCGUUGUGAGGCGUUGAGCUAACCUGUACUAAUUGCCCGUGAGGCUUAACCAU
rnacentral:rRNA from 1 species